GAUGAACGCUGGCGGCGUGCCUAACACAUGCAAGUCGAACGGAGUUAUGCAGAGGAAGUUUUCGGAUGGAAUCGGCGUAACUUAGUGGCGGACGGGUGAGUAACGCGUGAGGAACCUGCCUUGGAGUGGGAAUAACACAGUGAAAUUAGUGCUAAUACCGCAUAAUGCAGUUGGGCCGCAUGGCUCUGACUGCCAAAGAUUUAUCGCUCUGAGAUGGCCUCGCGUCUGAUUAGCUAGUUGGUGGGGUAACGGCCCGACCAAGGCGACGGAUCAGUAGCCGGACUGAGAGGUUGGCCGG
rnacentral:rRNA from 1 species